UACGUAGGGUGCAAGCGUUAAUCGGAAUUACUGGGCGUAAAGCGUGCGCAGGCGGUUUCUUAAGUCAGAUGUGAAAGCCCCGGGCUUAACCUGGGGGCUGCAUUUGAUACGUGUGGGCUUGAGUGCGGAAGAGGGUCGUGGAAUUCCCAGUGUAGAGGUGAAAUUCGUAGAUAUCGAGAGGAACACCGGUGGCGAAGGCGGCCUUCUGGACAGUGACUGACGCUGAGACGCGAAAGCGUGGGUAGCAAACAGG
rnacentral:rRNA from 1 species